rnacentral:rRNA from 1 species
AUUGAACGCUGGCGGCAGGCCUAACACAUGCAAGUCGAGCGAGCGGCGGACGGGUGAGUAAUGUAUGGGGAUGUGCCUGAUGGCGGGGGAUAACUACUGGAAAGGGUAGAUAAUACCGCAUACCAUCAGUUGAACCCAUAUGGGAUUAGCAUGUAGGUGAGGUAACGGCCCACCGGGGCGACGAUCCCGAGCUGGUCUUAGAGGAUGAUCAGCCACAAUGGGACUGAGACACGGCCCAGACUCCUACGGGAGGCAGCAGUGGGGAAUAUUGCCCAAUGGGCGCAAGCCUGAUGCAGCCAUGCCGCGUGUGUGAAGAAGGCCUUAGGGUUGUAAAGUACUUUCAGCGGGGAGGCGUUACCCGCAGAAGAAGCACCGGCUAACUCCGUGCCAGCAGCCGCGGUAAUUC